AACCUACCUCUUAGCAGGGGAUAACAUUUGGAAACAAAUGCUAAUACCGUAUAAUAAUUAAAACCGCAUGGUUUUAGUUUAAAAGAUGGUCUUGCUAUCACUAAGAGAUGGUCCCGCGGUGUAUUAGUUAGUUGGUGAGGUAAUGGCUCACCAAGACAAUGAUACAUAGCCGAGUUGAGAGACUGACCGGCCACAAUGGGACUGAGACACGGCCCAUACUCCUACGGGAGGCAGCAGUAGGGAAUCUUCCACAAUGGACGAAAGUCUGAUGGAGCAACGCCGCGUGUGUGAUGAAGGGUUUCGGCUCGUAAAACACUGUUGUAAGAGAAGAAUGACAUUGAGAGUAACUGUUCAAUGUGUGACGGUAUCUUACCAGAAAGGAACGGCUAAAUACGUGCCAGCAGCCGCGGUAAUACGUAUGUUCCAAGCGUUAUCCGGAUUUAUUGGGCGUAAAGCGAGCGCAGACGGUUAUUUAAGUCUGAAGUGAAAGCCCUCGGCUCAACCGAGGAAUUGCUUUGGAAACUGGAUAACUUGAGUGCAGUAGAGGAAAGUGGAACUCCAUGUGUAGCGGUGAAAUGCGUAGAUAUAUGGAAGAACACCAGUGGCGAAGGCGGCUUUCUGGACUGUAACUGACGUUGAGGCUCGAAAGUGUGGGUAGCAAACAGGAUUAGAUCCCCUGGUAGUCCACACUGUAAACGAUGAGUGCUAGUUGUUCGAGGGUUUCCGCCCUUGAGUGACGAA
rnacentral:rRNA from 1 species